UACGUAGGUGGCAAGCGUUGUCCGGAUUUACUGGGCGUAAAGGGAGCGUAGGUGGAUAUUUAAGUGGGAUGUGAAAUCCCCGGGCUUAACCUGGGGGCUGCAUUCCAAACUGGAUGUCUAGAGUGCAGGAGAGGAGAGUGGAAUUCCUAGUGUAGCGGUGAAAUGCGUAGAGAUUAGGAAGAACACCAGUGGCGAAGGCGACUCUCUGGACUGUAACUGACACUGAGGCUCGAAAGCGUGGGGAGCAAACAGGAUUAGAUACCCUGGUAGUCCACGCCGUAAACGAUGGGUACUAGGUGUAGGGGUUUCGAUACCUCUGUGCCGCCGUUAACACAAUAAGUACCCCGCCUGGGGAGUACGGUCGCAAGAUUAAA
rnacentral:rRNA from 1 species